rnacentral:rRNA from 1 species
CCUACGGGGGGCAGCAGUGAGGAAUAUUGGUCAAUGGGCGCGAGCCUGAACCAGCCAAGUAGCGUGCAGGAUGACUGCCCUACGGGUUGUAAACUUCUUUUAUAAGAGGGUAAAGUGAGGUACGUGUGCCUGUUUGUAUGUACUUUAUGAAUAAGGAUCGGCUAACUCCGUGCCAGCAGCCGCGGUAAUACGGAGGAUCCGAGCGUUAUCCGGAUUUAUUGGGUUUAAAGGGUGCGUAGACGGUUUGUUAAGUCAGUUGUGAAAGUGUGCGGCUCAACUUCAAAAUUGCAUUUGAUACUGGUAGUCUUGAGUGCAGUUGAGGUAGGCGGAAUUCGUGGUGUAGCGGUGAAAUGCUUAGAUAUCACGAAGAACUCCGAUUGCGAAGGCAGCUUACUAAGCUGCCACUGACAUUGAUGCACGAAAGCGUGGGGAUCAAACAGGAUUAGAUACCCGGGUAGUC